rnacentral:lncRNA from 1 species
GAGACCAAGAACAGGCACCACCGCACGCCGCCCUCUUCCGCCCACCAGAAAUCGCCUCACGGCAGUUCCGGUGGCCCAAACAACCCCAAAUUAACACCCUUGAUUCUCCUUCACCUCAUCAUCUCAAAUCCCCAAACCAUUGCCUUCGAAUCUUAGCCAAAUCCCUCGAAUUUCAGAUCGAAGAUCGGACCCAAACCCUAGUUUACCCAAUCAACCCCAAACUAACACCAUAUGACCACCUUGACCCCCUCUUUACAAAUCCCAGAAUGGUUUCCUUCGAAUCUUACCAAAACUGCUCGAAUAUUGAAUCUAAGAAUGAGCCCUAGAGGUUCAAAAUUUGAUUUUUUCGCGAACCAAUGAUAUAUGUUGGUCCAGGCCCUUAGCGUUCCAUGAUUCGAAGAUUGAUUCCUCACAAAAACUGAUACUGCUCACUUGUUCUUUACAAGAACAAGCGAUUAUUAUCAGUUUCGUGUGAAUCAUGAUGGCAAACGAUGUUUUCAGAGUCUAAUCGGUGAAUUCCCUUUACUAUUUUUGCUCAUCUUCAAACUCGCUUUACCUCUUCCUCAUCUUCUUUUCUUCUACAUGUUUUAAUUGAUCCAUUCUCUGAUUGAAGUUACGAUUAGCUUCAGAUUCAAUUUCUUUGACUUAGGUGAUGUUCGUCUAUUCGUAGUUCCCUUAAUUUUAGUCCCCGAUUCAAUGUAGUUGUUUCUGUUUGUGUCUUUUGAUUUUAGGUCUAUUAAUUAUCUUCUGUAUUCAAUUGAUAAUAUUUGCAUUUACCAUUUGAUCCUGAUUGCCCAAGUGAUUUCAUUUUUGAGUCUGUAAAUGUUCAGAAUUUCAAACUGAUUGAAUUAGAACUGUAGGGGUCUUAAUCCAGGGGGUCUGCUAACAAAGGGUAGUGGUGCACUACUGAAUUAAUAAAAGAAAAAAGUACUAAGUAGUGGAAUGAAUUAAAAAAUAAAAAGGGGACUGGUAAUGGCUAGCUUAAUGCCCUUUAGGAGCUGGAAAUCAGAGAACAUGGGGGAUAUAAUUAAAAGGCUAAAAUAUACAGGUGUAAAAGGGUACACAGUCUGGAAAGGAAGAGGAACAGAAUUAAGAAAGGACUGAAUACACCUUAAGAGGGGGACACUCACUGAUAUAUAAAGGGGGAGAAGCUAGACAGUAAGAGAGGAGAAGAGAGUUGGAGAGCUUAGGAGAUUGAAAGGAGAACAUUCUGGGAGGAUAGAGAGAACACAGACAGAUACAGACCUUAAGGGAAAAGAGAGGGAACAGGAGGGGAGAAAAAAAAUACUAACAACUAAAGGGGACUAUUUCAUUGAACUCUUUCUGGAUUUCUUCAGUUUUCUAAUUCGGGAAACAGUUUUCUGAUCUAUUUGGGUUGAAAGGAUUUGAGUUUGGUGUUUUAAAAGCUUGGUUUGAAGUUUGGUCGAGCUUGGUUGAUUGUUGCACCUCAUUGCUUGGUUUAAAGCUAGUUUUCUUGGUUGUCUCUGUUGCUGAUCACUGCGCUUGCUACUGUCUUGCUGCUGUUGUUUUCUUCUUAAACUGCAAGCUCAUUUGUCCUUAUUUUGAUUGCUGUAAUCAGGUACAUAUCCUUGGACUAUACUAGACGUGAAGUAAAAAUUUGGAGCAUGAAAUGAAAAAUGGAGUUCAAAGUAUAGCAUCAACUUAUCUGUCUAUAAUUCAAUCUUCUACAUUGUAUUAUGUCUCAUUUCCAGAUUCACUGAAU